rfam:Schistosoma curassoni strain Dakar, Senegal genome assembly, scaffold: SCTD_scaffold0001670
GCACUGCUGAGGAGUCCCAUACCAGGACGAAACUGCCGUCCAGUGC